rnacentral:rRNA from 1 species
UACGGAGGGUGCGAGCGUUGUCCGGAAUCACUGGGCGUAAAGGGCGCGUAGGCGGCGCGGAAAGUCAACGGUGAAAGCUUGGGGCUCAACCCCGAGUCGGCCGUCGAUACUUCCGUGCUCGAGCACUGUAGAGGCAGGUGGAAUUCCGGGUGUAGCGGUGGAAUGCGUAGAGAUCCGGAAGAACACCAAUGGCGAAGGCAGCUUGCUAGGCUACUUGAGACGCUGAGGUACGAAAGCGUGGGGAGCGAACGGG